GAUUUAGCGGCGAGGCCUUUAUUUAUCGAUGGUUUCAGCGUCACAAAGCAUAACGAAUGUCGUCAAUGCGGUUCAGUAAAGUCUAAUUAGCAUGCCCGCAUUAGGCUUGUAGUUGUCGUUAACUCAUUUAUUAUUAAUUAGUUCGUUUAGGUUAUGUGUCAAUAGGACGUCGUAGUGAUGCACGUAGUUUUGAGGUACUGGUUGUUGUGAGUCGUAAAGGACGAUUUAAAACAUUUGCGAGUACAGACAUACGACAUGUGCAAUGCAGGUGUUGCGCAUUGUGAGAAGUAGCAGAAGUAAUUGACUUAACGAGUCACAAACAAGUGCGAAAGGCGAUAAUGCUAUAUACGACAUCAGUACAGGAGGUCACCAAAGGCUCAUACACAUAAGAAUUCUUUUGGAAGAUAAAGUGAAUUCUUAAUUCCAAACAGUUUUUAUGGCCAUGACAUUUUAAGCGACUAUCAGACUUAAUAAAUCAUUGCGAAAGACUUCUGGUGGUAUUCAGCUUCAAUGCCAUACAUUCUAGUUAGAGGGAACCUUGCAUCAUAUGGACAGCGCCAACCUUGGAGAGUUCUUGUGUCAGGCUUGAAAGCUGGAAAUGGACAUACCACUUUUGCUUCCUAAUCAAGUCAGUAUGCCAGACCUUCCAACUUACUUAUAUGCUGCAGUCAAAGGAUCAUUGCAUGCUAGUGACUGUUCCGUCUUUGGACUCAACUGUGCUGAGAUACAGGCACUAACCAAGCGUUACCAAAAUACAUCAUCUGAGACACUUAAUGGAGUUAUAAUCAAAGGUACACUCUUGGUAUCUGAAAAGAUGUCGCAGUCUCACUGUCAUUCUCACAACAUUGUGACGCCCUCAGUGUAUCAGACGCUGGAUGAACUGGAUUUUGAAAGAGGACUAUGGUCUCCAGCCCAGAAUGGUGAUAUGUCUCGUGUAAAGAACCUCUUAGAGCGUGGUGUCCCUGUUGAUAGCAGAGACUCUGCUGGCUACACUGCACUACAUUAUGCUGCACGGGCUGGACACGCUGCCAUAUGCCAACAACUUAUUGGAGCAGGAGCGUUGUUGGACACAAAGACACGUGCUGGAGGAGCUACACCUCUACACAGAGCAGCAGCAUCUGGUAAACUACAUAUUGUCCAACUGUUAUUGGAAGCUGGGGCAAAUAGCGCAGUUACUGAUGCAGAUGGGAGAACAGCUUUACACCGUGCUGCAGAGGAAGGACAUUCUGAUGUUGCAGAAUUGCUGUUAAAGAAUAAUACACAGUUAAACAACAUGAAAGAUAUUAAAGGGCGCCUAGCAGUUGAAUGUGUUAAGGAUCAGACCAUGCUUUCUGUUUUUUUAUAAAAGAAACAAUAAAAAGAGAAGCAAUAUUCUCUUUAUCAGAAUACAUUAAAACACUAUUUACUGUGUGUCUUUUCAAGUACUGAAAUGAAAUAAUUUGUGGCUUGUGACAACUCCUGGAAAAUUGAACUGUUGAAAGAACUGAUCGUAAUUUGAAAUUUCAAGUUAGUACCUCUACAACACUUCCUCGCUAAUCAAUUAAUAGAAGCAGUUGCAGCUGGAGAUGCAAAGUAUGGAUUUGUGAUAGAAAAGCAUCAUUUUCGUAUUGUAUCACCAUUGUUUUAUAUAUCCAGCUUCACUGUCUCGUUUGUUCCUCUUUUCAGCCUUGAUAUGAAUGUUAGUUUUGUAGCUUUGUUUGCCACUAUUUCUCUAGUUUGGUUAUCUUCCUCCGCCAUGUAAGUUUUAACAUUUUUGAUAGUCUUAAUCAUACUUUUCUCACAUAUUUACAUGUAACAUACAGUGGUAAAAUAGCUGCUUUGACACUGUUGUAAUUUUCAUAGUAUAAAUAAUGUGUAAAGUGAAAGUUUUGGAUGAAACUAUUACAAUUACGUUGACAGAAAUUACGAAUCUUCAGUAAGUGUCAUAUAAACUGAUAUCUUUAAAACAACUUCAUUUCUUUGCCAGCUUUUGCUUUAAUUAUGUGCUAAUUCUGGUCUACCUUUUUGCUUACUAUUUUGAUUACAUUAAAAACUGAGUUGGUUUGUGGGGCUUGGAAAAUGAACCCCGAUUCCAUCUGGAUUACCAUCUGUUUAUUGUUUCCACAAUAAAAACUGCUCCAUCCUAGUCUCAUAACACUAGUGCACUUCUGACAUAAAAAUCCACCACAUCCUUAAAAAAAAAAAAAAAAAAAAUUAAUGUUUGAGCAUAAUGGUUGACAUUCUGUUUUGAACUAUUUAUGGUAACAAGAUAUUACACAGUGAUUACAUAUGUAGGCACUUUCUAUUCCUGACGAUCACAUUUACCAAAGAGAUUUGUGCAAAAGUAACUGAAUCUUGGCUAUACAAGUAGUUAAACAAAUGUAAGCCAUAAAUUGAAAUUGAAAAUUAUUCUGUUCAGUUCUAGGGCACUGGCACAGAUUUAAGCCAUACACUGAAAUUAAAAGUAAUUCUGUUCAGCUAUAGGGCACUGGCAAAUUCACAUACAGUAUUACAAAUUAAUAAUGUUGAAGGCUGAAUAGCACAGCGACAUUACUUUUAGAAGUGGACAGUGCCAAAACGAGUGCUUGAUGUUAAAACCAGAGAAUUUAGUGUUCACUUUAUUAAAUGCUAAAAUGUUACCAGAUCAAAAUUUGGUUGUUGUUCAGUACAAUGGGCAUUUGGUCAGUUUUGUUGUAUGUGGCUUAUUAGCAGAGAACGCAGCUGUUAAGGAGCUCUGCUGAGUAGUUUUUAGUGGUAAUUGCCAGUGUUAUUCCUUGUAGAAAAAUCAGUUUCCUGUCUUCUCCUUGUUAUUGCAAGAUGAUAUAUCUUAAGCAUCAGUUCCACAAAGGAAGGAAGGAUUCAGUUAACACGCCAGAAUGAUUUUUUUCCUGACAGUGUUCACAGCUUUUUUGUGUUGGUAAAAUGAUUUGUGAAAUGAGUUCAUAGUGCAACUUGCUGAGUGUUGUGUUGCAUUUAUCACUCCUCCUAACAGUCCCAUUGCAUAUAUUAUUAUUAUUAUUAUUAUUAUUAUUAUUAUUUCCUAUUUGAAAAAUGUGCAUACCAUUUAAGCCAUUUAAUUGCUAAAGGAAAAUCAGAUCUUGAAAUAAUAAAGUACCAUCUAUGCAAAUGCAAUUAAAUUGUAUGAGGGUUUUGCUUGUGGACCAAAAUGCAAUGCUGUGACUAUUCUUAGAUGGUUUUUUUUAAUUUAAGUUGAUACUAUAUUAGCAUUGCUAAAAUUAAUUUCAUUAGUAAUAAAUUUAGUAUAUUAGUGUCAGUUAGCUUCAGUGGAUUGUGAUUUUUUUGUUCCUAAUCAAACAUUAUUUCCUAAGUUAAAAUUAUAAAUUAUUAUUGGUUAGUUGUAUAUGGUAGAGUUUCUUGUGGUACUACUGAAGCACAUCGUAAAUCACAAACAGAGCUGUUCAGUUUUCAACAGGUUGACAAUAUUUAACUGUGCUGAUGAGUUAUUAACACUGAUUAUUUAUGUUUAAAAGUAUAAUGCACCGUAAUGUCGUUACUGAAAUAAAUAUUUCUUUUGUUUCAUGUGUUAAUAUGUUGGAAGAUCUGGGUAGAAACAUUAAUAAAGUAAAUGAAUAGCUAAUGUCUCUGCUUGUUGCAAAAAAUUAAAUGUGCUGCUUUUACUGCAGAUACCUUACUUUCCUGUGGAGAAACUUUUAAUCUGUGAGGUUUUUGUUCUUGUGACUUGUUAUCCCCUAUCAUAUGCUUAUGAGAAGAGCUCUGAGUAGUAGUAGUAGUAGUAGUAGUAGUAGUAGUAGUAGUAGUAAAUAGCAUUAAGCAAGAAUCUUAAUUUAUUUGUCACAAUGACCACAAAUAAGAUUAUUUUUAAAGCUAAACUAAAUAUUAGAAGGCAGACUUCUGAUGUGGUAAUUUGUGUACAUUUGUCCUACUCUGAGAGAAAUUAAGAGUUUGAAGAUCUAGUUAAUCUUUCUUCUGUUAUUGUUAAUAUUCCAUUCUAAUUCAAAUGAUGAUGAUGUAAGUUAUAGUACAGGAAUUCUCCAAAAGCAAUACAAUUACUUUUCUGCACUAUUCCUAUCGAUAAUUUUACAGUGUGUCAACAUAUGUGCUGUUUAUCAUUUUCAUUAGUAUUUAUUUGUGAAAUAAAAUAUCUGAGGCUCUAAA